GGAUUGUGGCUCAGCAGUAGAGCGCUUGCCUCGCACACGGGGGUGGGACCUGGGUUCGAUCCUCAGCACCA
rnacentral:tRNA from 1 species